CGCAAAUUGCAGGGGAACCCGCGCGUCGGCGCAUAUUGCAACGCGCACGCGGGUUGAGAAAGGCAUACAGCCUGACCCUUAGAACCUGAUGGUUAAUACCAGCGUAGGGAGGCAACACCAUGGCAAGC
rnacentral:ncRNA from 2 species